rnacentral:rRNA from 1 species
GACGAACGCUGGCGGCGUGCCUAAUACAUGCAAGUCGAACGCUGAAGGAGGAGCUUGCUUCUCUGGAUGAGUUGCGAACGGGUGAGUAACGCGUAGGUAACCUGCCUGGUAGCGGGGGAUAACUAUUGGAAACGAUAGCUAAUACCGCAUAACAGUAGAUAUCGCAUGAUAUCUACUUGAAAGUUGCAAUUGCAUCACUACCAGAUGGACCUGCGUUGUAUUAGCUAGUUGGUGAGGUAACGGCUCACCAAGGCGACGAUACAUAGCCGACCUGAGAGGGUGAACGGCCACACUGGGACUGAGACACGGCCCAGACUCCUGCGGGGGGCAGCAGUAGGGAAUCUUCGGAAAAGGACGGAAGUCUGACCGAGGAAAGCCGGGGGGGUGAAGAAGGGUUUCGGAUCGGAAAGCUCUGUUGUAAGGGAAGAACGAGUGUGAGAGUGAAAAGUCCACACUGUGACGGUACCUAAACAGAAAGGAACGGCUAACUACGUG